rnacentral:lncRNA from 1 species
UCCACUUAAAGAGCACGCUCAAUGGAGAUUUGAUCUGAUCUGGAGCUUUAAGGAUAAGACAAACUUAAUGGAAUAGCUGGAUGACUUAUCCUAUCAUAUAAAGUCCUUUAAACACUUUUGGAAAGUCUUGAUAUAUCCUUAAUGAAGAUUGAAAAAGUAUCAGAUCAUCCUUUUAUGAUUCUCAAGGAGCGUCUGAGCAUUUGUGAAGAAAGAGGAGCGUGCCUAAUCAUUAUAUAUACGAAGACCAAGCUCAAGACUAAGUAUCUCAAUUGAAAAAUAUUAGUUCACAUAUUGAGUCUUUGUUGAGUCUUUUAUUAUUUGAUUGUAAUUCUUGCUCGUGGAUUCUAUAACACGAGUUAAGAAGUAAGUUUAUUAGUUUAAGGUUGCUCCUAAGCUUUGAAGUACGGAGUUUACCGUGUGUGAUUCACUUGAAGCUUUUAAGCAAAAGUGAAGUGUUGUCUUGACAAGNN